GGGGUUGUGGCUCAGUGGUAGAGUGCUUGCCUAUGCAUGAGGCACUGGGUUCAAACUCCAGCACCA
rnacentral:tRNA from 1 species